UAGCUGACCGACGUCCAGCGAGGCGGAUCUACUGUCUUCACUAGAGCUGGGAUAGCAGUAGCACCAGUCAAGAACAUGGCACUGUUGUGGUAUAACUUUUCUCCACAAUAUGAGGAUGAGGAUCAGUUGACCUAUCAUGGUGGAUGUCCAGUUGUCUUCGGACAUAAAUGGAUCUGUACAAAAUGGAUCUGGACUUACGGCAACACAUUGAGAAGAAGGUGUGGUCUGACACCUGAAGCCACCCAGCUCGAUAUUGAACCUGACAUGAAGAGAGGCUAUAUAUAGGAAGAUGGUGGUGGACCUUCAAGCGAGUCAGCUGAGGACUGCAGAUGUUCCCUGACAAAGUCUAAAACUGCAGAAUUUUAAAUGUGUCAUACAGAAUAAAAGACAAACAAAUACAUUUUUUUAAUGAAAAUAGUAUUAAAAAACAACAACAAAAAACUCAACAACAACAGAAAACAAAAAUGAACAUUAAACUAUCUAAAACCAAUAAUAUAACUACUUUCUGAGCUAGAGAUUUCAAAGGUUUGGUCUUUUAAAUAUAAAAUAACUUUAUUUUAACAUAUAAAUUUUGUUCAUAUUUUCCUUCUUUUAAAAUAUAUUAUUUAAAAAAAAAUUGUUUAGUCUGUGGAACUGUUUAUGACCGUUAUGUCGAACAAAGUUUAUACCAAUGUCCAGUGUUUUAUGUUAUAUAUGUUUACCAUCCCUUAGAUAUGACCAUUAUACGGGGUAAUAUCCGCCCCUUAGAGUCCAUUAUUUGAGGUAUAGAUGUCGCACCUUAUUCUGCUUGAACAAAGUCUUCAGUCCUUUUAAUUUGUUUACAGCAUACAUUUGUUAAUUUAGUCUUUCGUUGCUAGACAGCGAGAAUAAGCAUGAAUAAAACUCACUUUAAUUUGUUGAUUAUAGCUUUAUUUUUAAGUUGAAUGCAUUAAACUCUCUGAUUUAUUUCAGCGUUAAACGCAUUUUAUAUAGUGAGCAUGCGUCCACUUAUACUUCUAUCAUGUACAGAACAACUUUAAAACACGUAUAGCAGUUAUGGAUUUUGAAAGUUUUAAAAAUUGUUAUAAUUAUACUUACACAAAUGAACAAGGCGAGGUUUUUGGUUUUUACAUUUAAUACUUGUUUUCGCUAUAUUUGAAACUUUUAAUGCAAAAGUAGUCAAAAACAAGUUGCAGUGAUUAGAUUGGUAAGCCAAUAAAUAUGUCAAUUAGAAGUGUCCGAAAUUUCGCUCGGGUGUUUUGAUCUAGACUGACGACAGACUGAUGACAGAGACAGUGAGUUCAAUAAGAGCUUGUAAAAAUGUCAAUAUCUAAUAAUUGGAUAUAUUUAAAUUAAUAUAAGCUACCAAUACCAAUCAGUAAAAUUAAAACCAAAUUAUAUACAUCAUUAGUGAACACAACACCAUAUUAAAUGCACACACUGAUUAAGAGCCUUAAAUGAUUUCGUUAAACACCCGGCUGUUCAAUGGUCUUUAUAUUGUUUUUUAAAGUAAUUUGUAUUAGUUUUGGCCGAGAAAAUUGUAUACAUUUCAUAGCGUAGAUCUUUAGAUUUAAAUCAAAUUGGAAUGAAAUAAUACAUUUGUUCAUAUUCUAAAAUUAAGAUGACGCCAUUAGUUGUGUGGACUUCCGUAGUUUAAACAUGUGAUAUGUGACGUCAUUGUUCUUUUGCGUUCUUGUCACAACUAUAAACACUUUUCCGGUUGCAUAAUUAAAAGUGUGUUUCUACAUUCGAAUAUGCCUUUAUUUUUUAUUGUUCUUUAAAUAAGAAAUAGUUUACUUUUAUACAUUUAAAAUAUGCAGCAUAUUAUUUUCAUCAAAAUUCCGUAUCAUUAAGUUCUCCAUAAUAUAUUGCUGAAGAUAUUAAGAGAG